GACGAACGCUGGCGGCGUGCUUAACACAUGCAAGUCGAACGGAAAGGCCCUGCUUUUGUGGGGUGCUCGAGUGGCGCACGGGUGAGUAACACGUGAGUAACCUGCCCUUGACUUUGGGAUAACUUCAGGAAACUGGGGCUAAUACCGGAUAGGAGCUCCUGCUGCAUGGUGGGGGUUGGAAAGUUUCGGCGGUUGGGGAUGGACUCGCGGCUUAUCAGCUUGUUGGUGGGGUAGUGGCUUACCACGGCUUUGACGGGUAGCCGGCCUGAGAGGGUGACCGGCCACAUUGGGACUGAGAUAGGGCCCAGACUCCUACGGGAGGCAGCAGUGGGGAAUAUUGCGCAAUGGGCGGAAGCCUGAUGCAGCAACGCCGCGUGCGGGAUGACGGCCGUCGGGUUGUAAACCGCUUUCGCCUGUGACGAAGCGUGAGUGACGGUAAUGGGUAAAGAAGCACCGGCUAACUACGUG
rnacentral:rRNA from 1 species